UUAAUUGUAUACUGGAAUGAAUGACUAAAUGAGCAAAACUUUUUUUCAAAGAAAAACAAUAAUUUAUAUUUUAAGUAAAAAUACUUAAAUUUUAUAAAGGGACGAUAAGACCCUAAAAGCUUUAAUAUUAUAAUUAUUCGGUUUGUUAAAUUAACCCUAAAAAUAUAAUAUUUUAACUGGGGUAGUUGUUUUAUAAACUUAAUAUUUCUAUUAACUAUAAUAAAAGGUCAUAAGAUCCGUCAUAUAAUGAUUACUAAAUAAGUUACUUUAGGGAUAACAGUGCAAUAAAUUCAGAGAGAUCAUAUCUAUGAAUUUGAUUACAACCUCGAUGUUGAAUUAAAAAAUCUUUAUUGAGCAAAACC
rnacentral:rRNA from 1 species